AUACGUAGGGGGCGAGCGUUGUCCGGAUUUAUUGGGCGUAAAGAGCUCGUAGGCGGCUUAGCAAGUCGGCCGUGAAAGUCCGAGGCUCAACCUCGGAAAGCCGGUCGAAACUGCUAUGGCUAGGGUCCGGUAGAGGAGAGUGGAAUUCCCGGUGUAGCGGUGAAAUGCGCAGAUAUCGGGAGGAACACCAGUAGCGAAGGCGGCUCUCUGGGCCGGUACCGACGCUGAGGAGCGAAAGCGUGGGGAGCAAACAGGAUUAGAUACCCCGGUAGUCC
rnacentral:rRNA from 1 species